rnacentral:lncRNA from 1 species
GAUAAAAGGAUCGAAAAGCAGUGGAGCGCCUACAAUCUGAAAAAGUACCAUGUGUGGACCUUCCGCUACAUCAAAGCCCAAAGACUCAAGAAGCUAGACGAGCACCACUUCACAAGCCAAAGACUAUCCAGUUGUUAUGCAGUUCCUACCUUACAGCUAAGUUCUCGUUCGUUUCACUUGUUUUUCAAUGAGGAAUUCAGAAGUAAUCACAACUUGGCUCGGCUGCAUGCUUACAACAACUGAUCACUCAUGCACUUCAAAAGAAGACUGCGCCCUUCUUAGGGACUCAUCGCAGGAAUUGCGCCCCCCGAGGGACCAACCAUGCUCUCUAG